rnacentral:rRNA from 1 species
GAUGAACGCUGGCGGCGUGCCUAAUACAUGCAAGUCGAGCGAACAGAUAAGGAGCUUGCUCCUUUGACGUUAGCGGCGGACGGGUGAGUAACACGUGGGUAACCUACCUAUAAGACUGGAAUAACUCCGGGAAACCGGGGCUAAUGCCGGAUAACAUUUAGAACCGCAUGGUUCUAAAGUGAAAGAUGGUUUUGCUAUCACUUAUAGAUGGACCCGCGCCGUAUUAGCUAGUUGGUAAGGUAACGGCUUACCAAGGCAACGAUACGUAGCCGACCUGAGAGGGUGAUCGGCCACACUGGAACUGAGACACGGUCCAGACUCCUACGGGAGGCAGCAGUAGGGAACCUUCCGCAAUGGGCGAAAGCCUGACGGAGCAACGCCGCGUGAGUGAUGAAGGUCUUCGGAUCGUAAAACUCUGUUAUUAGGGAAGAACAAAUGUGUAAGUAACUGUGCACGUCUUGACGGUACCUAAUCAGAAAGCCACGGCUAACUACG